rnacentral:rRNA from 1 species
CAGCAGCCGCGGGAAUACGAAGGGUGCAAGCGUUAAUCGGAAUUACUGGGCGUAAAGCGUGCGUAGGCGGUGAGUUAAGUCUGCUGUGAAAUCCCCGGGCUCAACCUGGGAAUGGCAGUGGAUACUGGCUCGCUAGAGUGUGUCAGAGGAUGGUGGAAUUCCCGGUGUAGCGGUGAAAUGCGUAGAGAUCGGGAGGAACAUCAGUGGCGAAGGCGGCCAUCUGGGACAACACUGACGCUGUGGCACGAAAGCGUGGGGAGCAAACAGGAUUAGAUACCCCCGUAGUCCCUGUCUCUUAUAC